rnacentral:rRNA from 1 species
ACUCAAAUGAAUUGACGGGGACCCGCACAAGCGGUGGAUCGUGUUCUUUAAUUCGAUGAUAAACGAAGAACCUUACCAGGGCUUGACAUCCAGGGAAGCACUACGAAAGUAGAGUGUGCCUUUUGGAACCCUGUGACAGAUGAUGCAUGGCCGUCGUCAGCUCGUGUCGUGAGAUGUUUGGUUAAGUCCAUCAACGAGCGCAACCCUUGUGAAUAGUUGUAUUUUUCUAUUCAGACUGCCCCGGUAACGGGGAGGAAGGAGGGGAUGAGGUCAGGUCUGUAUUUCUCUUACGUCCUGGGCUAGAAACACGAUACAAUGGUUAGUACAAUGCGCAGCGAAGCCGCGAGGUGGAGCAAAUCGCAUCAAAGCUAAUCUCAGUUCGGAUAAGAGGCUGAAACUCGCCUCUUUGAAGUCGGAAUCGCUAGUAAUCGCAGGUCAGCAAACUGCGGUGAAUACGUUCCCGGGUCUUGUACACACCGCCCGU